rnacentral:SRP_RNA from 1 species
GCUGGGCGUGGCGGCGCACGCCUGUAAUCCCAGCUACUCAGGAGGCUGAGGCAGGAGAAUCUCUUGAACCCAGGAGGCGGAGGUUGCAGUGAGCUGAGAUCGUGCCACUGCACUCUAACCUGGGCAACAGAGCGAGAUUCCACCUCAA